AGACAAAACAAAGCCUGUUUAGCAAACAACUCCCCUCCAAAUGUGUAAAAAUAAAAAUCCUAUUGGUAUUUAGCAAAUGUAGGCUGCAGUUUAAACAACUUUUCUAUUUUGCAGGCAUUGAUGCUAUGAAUGUACGUCCCUUUUUAGUGGAGGAAAAAGUGACUCUUCCACUUUAGUGGUUGGGAUAUUUUCAAGGACAUUUUCAACAAGGAGGAUAUCCUCAAGAAAACAAAAUUCCCUUCAGAUGUUCAUGUGUCGCAUCAUGCAACUGUAAACAGUGAAACUCUUACAGUCUCUAGCAAGCACCCUGCUUGAAACACAAGCUGGAGAAAGGCAAUUUAUGAAACAGAGAGCAGAACACUAUUCUGGAGAAUGAGAUGUCUGAUUUUUGUUCCAAGCUCUGCCAGAGUGACCUUGCACUGCCACUUUCUCUGUAUUUCAGCAUCCACAACUAUAAAACGUUUUGAAGAAAUAGAUGGUGAGGUGAAAUUUCACACUGAUUUUCAACAGACAAUGGAAAGAAGCUAG
rnacentral:lncRNA from 1 species